AAUGCUGUUUUUCACCUCCACAGAGGAUCACUCUCAUCUACGGGGAGCUUCUUUCUCUACUGCAGAAAGGUGCCAUAGAACCAGCCCAUGCUCCUGGCUUAGUGCCGAAUAUUUUUCUUGUCUGCAAGAAGAUGAGGGACUUCUGUCUCAUCAUCAGCGCAACCUCAAUGCUUUCAUGACAUUGUCAUUUCAAGAUGGAGGGUAUCUCUCAGCAAAGUUCGCUCUCCUCCUGUGCUUAGUUUUGUUUCGUCAGGUGUCGGACAUUCACACUUUUGAUGCCCACACAGUUACCAUCUCCCUGGUGAGAGUCUCCUUUGCAGUCCAUCGACGCACCAAAUCCUUCUCCACAUCGGUUUACAAUCCAUAUUUUCCUAAGCACCCUAGGUGGUGUAUGGCCAUUGUGUGCAUUCGUAUCUGUUGGUUACAUCUCCCCUCCGAGCUUCUUCAGUGGCAAUCUACUUCUUUCUUACGUCCCUCCUCACCAUUGGUAGUUCGUUGGAUCCAAUGGCUCUUAACGUCGGCUUGCAUUGAUGAUUCGUUUGGGGCCUAUUUAGUGUGCAGAGCUGCGUCUUCAUCCGCUUUCUCCUCUGGUGUCUCCAUCUGUCAACUGCGGAUUGGUCUCAGGAAUAGACGUUCCAGAACUUCUCCUUCCGCCGCUUCCUCAUGCGACUCUGACUCUUCUUUCUCAGUAUUUAAACAGGUAAUAUGAAGCCUCCUGUCUUGUAUUAAAAUUGGGGAUUAGCAUUGU